ensembl:snoRNA small nucleolar RNA SNORA18
GUUGAGGUCUAUCCCGAUGGAGCCUGUCCUAUAGGUUCAUAUCGUUGGAAAUGCCUCAUAGAGCAAACCUGUGGUUUCGCUUUACCCAUUGAACUAUUUAUUAGCUCUUUGGGAUAAAACUGCAAGACAGAU